AAUUUACCCAUUUAAAGGUGUAUUUAGAUUUAGGCCUUAAACCAAGCAUCAGUCUAUACAAUAAACUGCAUAGUUUUGAUUCAUUAUUUACAAUUUUACACCAAUAUAUAAUCAUUCUAAUUUUCACCUUUAUUUCAAGAGGAAAUCUACCCAAUUCUCCGUACACCAUAAAAUUAGGCGUAGUGUUUCUAACUUUCAGCGCCCUUUUGCAGAAUUUCAAGUGAGUUUUUUCGAUAAUUUUCAGGUUUUCAAAGCCCCA
rnacentral:lncRNA from 1 species